GUAGUUUGAUCUUGGCUCAGAUUGAACGCUGGCGGCAUGCCUUACACAUGCAAGUCGAACGGCAGCACGGGAGCUUGCUCCUGGUGGGCGAGUGGCGAACGGGUGAGUAAUGCAUCGGAACGUAUCCUGGAGUGGGGGAUAACGUAGCGAAAGUUACGCUAAUACCGCAUAUUCUGUGAGCAGGAAAGCGGGGGACCUUCGGGCCUCGCGCUCUUGGAGCGGCCGAUGUCGGAUUAGCUAGUUGGUGAGGUAAAGGCUCACCAAGGCGACGAUCCGUAGCAGGUCUGAGAGGAUGAUCUGCCACACUGGAACUGAGAC
rnacentral:rRNA from 1 species